rnacentral:rRNA from 1 species
CCUACGGGAGGCGGCAGUGAGGAAUAUUGGACAAUGGGCGCAAGCCUGAUCCAGCCAUGCCGCGUGCAGGAAGACGGUCCUAUGGAUUGUAAACUGCUUUUGUACGGGAAGAAACACUCCUUCGUGAAGGAGCUUGACGGUACCGUAAGAAUAAGGAUCGGCUAACUCCGUGCCAGCAGCCGCGGUAAUACGGAGGAUCCAAGCGUUAUCCGGAAUCAUUGGGUUUAAAGGGUCCGUAGGCGGUUUAGUAAGUCAGUGGUGAAAGCCCAUCGCUCAACGGUGGAACGGCCAUUGAUACUGCUAGACUUGAAUUAUUAGGAAGUAACUAGAAUAUGUAGUGUAGCGGUGAAAUGCUUAGAGAUUACAUGGAAUACCAAUUGCGAAGGCAGGUUACUACUAAUGGAUUGACGCUGAUGGACGAAAGCGUGGGUAGCGAACAGGAUUAGAUACCCUGGUAGUCCACGCCGUAAACGAUGGAUACUAGCUGUUGGGGGCAACUUCAGUGGCUAAGCGAAAGUGAUAAGUAUCCACCUGGGGAGUACGUUCGCAGAAUGAAACUCAAAUGAAUUGACGG